AACAUCGAUCGGCACUGCAUAGCAUUGAUCCCACGGCUCAACAAUCAACAUCAUGAGGUUCUUCGCUGCAGUUUUGAUCCUCUUUCUGGUUUUCCUUCCUUUCCAUUCAGGUGAAAGCAACACGAAAAUCUGCAGGGAUAGUACUAAUGUUCCCGCGGAGCUGUCGACUCCUUGCAAGUUACCACAAUGUAAUCAGUAUUGCGCAGAGCAGCACCCUCACCCCAAGGGUUGGGGAAAUUGCGUAAACGAUGCCUGCCGGUGCUCUUAUCUUUGCGACAGUAAUUAAUGAUGCUUCAAAACACGAGCUCCAGCUCGAUCUAUAAUGUGGCUGGCUUUGUCUCUAAUAAUAUAUAGCACAUCUAUUACGUAUUGGACUCGUGCCAAUUAAUUGUCAAAGUUGGUUGA